rnacentral:rRNA from 1 species
GACGAACCACACGAACGUUAUUCGGAAUCACUGGGCUUAAAGGGCGCGUAGGCUGCGCAGCAAGUUGGGUGUGAAAUCCCUCGGCUCAACCGAGGAACUGCGCCCAAAACUGCUGUGCUCGAGGGAGACAGAGGUGAGCGGAACUUAGGGUGGAGCGGUGAAAUGCGUUGAUAUUCACAGGAACUCCGGUGGCGAAGGCGGCUCGCUGGACCUCUUCUGACGCUGAGGCGCGAAAGCCAGGGGAGCAAACGGG